AGAGUUUGAUCAGUGCUCGAGACGAACGCUGGCGGCGUGCUUAACACAUGCAAGUCGAGCGGAAAGGCUCCUUCGGGGGUACUCGAGCGGCGAACGGGUGAGUAACACGUGAGUAAUCUGCCCUUGGCUUUGGGAUAAGCCCCGGAAACGGGGUCCUAAUACCGGAUACGACGCACUCUCGCAUGGGAUGUGUGUGGAAAGUUUUUUCGGCCAGGGAUGUGCUCGCGGCCUAUCAGCUUGUUGGUGGGGUAAUGGCCUACCAAGGCUUCGACGGUAGCCGGCCUGAGAGGGUGACCGGCCACACUGGGACUGAGACACGGCCCAGACUCCUACGGGAGGCAGCAGUGGGGAAUAUUGGACAAUGGGCGGAAGCCUGAUCCAGCAACGCCGCGUGAGGGAUGACGGCCUUCGGGUUGUAAACCUCUUUCAGUACCGACGAAGCGCCGAUGAUGGUGGUGACGGUAGGUACAGAAGAAGCACCGGCCAACUACGUG
rnacentral:rRNA from 1 species